UACGUAGGGGGCGAGCGUUGUCCGGAAUCAUUGGGCGUAAAGCGCGUGUAGGCGGUCCGGUAAGUCCGCUGUGAAAGUCGGGGGCUCAACCCUCGGAUGGCGGUGGAUACUGUCGGGCUUGAGUACGGAAGAGGCGAGUGGAAUUCCUGGUGUAGCGGUGAAAUGCGCAGAUAUCAGGAGGAACACCGAUGGCGAAGGCAGGUCUCUGGGCCACUACUGACGCUGAGAAGCGAAAGCGUGGGGAGCGAACAGG
rnacentral:rRNA from 1 species